UACGGAGGGUGCGAGCGUUGUCCGGAAUCACUGGGCGUAAAGGGCGCGUAGGUGGCGCAGUCAGUCAACGGUGAAAGUUCGGGGCUCAACCCUGAAUCGGCCGUCGAUACUCCUGGGCUUGAGCACUGUAGAGGCAGAUGGAAUUCCGGGUGUAGCGGUGGAAUGCGUAGAGAUCCGGAAGAACACCGGUGGCGAAGGCGGUCUGCUGGGCAGUAGCUGACACUGAGGCGCGAAAGCGUGGGGAGCAAACAGG
rnacentral:rRNA from 1 species